rnacentral:lncRNA from 1 species
GUCAAGACCCAUUGUCAAUCUACACACAGGUAUAAAUGACCAGAGAGUGCCUUUCCCGAGAUAUUAAUGGUGGCUAGAUGCGCUAAAAAAAGAGUAGCACCCUGUAUAGAUAUCAGAACAGUGAGUCCUCAGCCAGUUUGGAACAAUGUGAGGCUGUAGAUGAAGGACUUGGAUGUGUUGGAUCUAAAAGCCGGCUUGUAACUUUGGUCAUCAAGAGCCUGUGCUGCAAAAGAACUUUGGUGCAAAUGUUAGUGCUCGUCAUUCUUGCUGAGUAUCAUGAUGGUCUAUAUUGAUGCCAAAGUAUUCAAAGUCCACAUCCGAUGGCUACAAAUACAUAGAAACCUACAUGCCUAAACAUAGUGUGAGCGUGCAGUCACGCACAUGUGACACAGAAGCUUGGAACCGUGAAUUAUUCAAUGCGUAAUAAUGCCCUUCCUGGCUGACUAAUGGGUCCUUUUUUGGCUGCAUUGAAAAUGAAUCGCCGGUCUUUGAUUUUAGUUUGUGUGGUUUUUUCUCAGAGGGAUUAUGAAGAAAUUGAUGAUCUUUAUUUGUGGUUUGUAUGUUUUUGUCUCUUAAGGGAUUAUGAAGGAAUCACUGAUCUUUAUUUAGGCUGGCUCAUGAAAAAUUAAAAAUCACAGAUCAGACGGUUCAAAGUACCUUUUUUUUAUUAUUAUUAAAUUGGUUUAACAUAUUAUGACGUGUG